UGACGGCAAUAUCACGUUGAAACACCACUUCCUGUACGAUUACCGAAGUUAAGUAACGUCGAACGUAGUUAGUAUCGAGAUGGGUAACCACUUGGGAACACCAGGUUUUGGA